CCUACGGGAGGCUGCAGUGGGGAAUAUUGCACAAUGGGGGGAACCCUGAUGCAGCGACGCCGCGUGAGUGAAGAAGUACCUCGGUACGUAAAGCCCUGUCAGCAGGGAAGAAAAUGACGGUACCUGAGCAAGAAGCCCCGGCUAACUACGUGACAGCAGCCGCGGUAAUACGUAGGGGGCAAGCGUUAUCCGGAUUUACUGGGUGUAAAGGGGGCGUAGACGGGGUUGCAGGUCUGGAGUGAAAUUCCGCAGCUUAACUCCGGAACUGCUUUUGAAACUGGGGGACUAGAGUGCAGGAGGGGUAAGCGGAAUUCCUGGUGUGGCGGUGAAAUGCGUAGAUAUCAGGAGGAACACCGGUGGCGAAGGCGGCCUACUGGACCGCAACUGACGUUGAGGCUCGAAAGCGUGGGGAGCAAACAGGAUUAGAUACCCUAGUAGUC
rnacentral:rRNA from 1 species